rnacentral:tRNA from 1 species
CAGCUUAUAGUUUAUUAAAAUAAAAUCUUUGGGAGGUUGAGAUGUAUAAUAUAUACUUGGCUGA